rnacentral:rRNA from 1 species
AGAUUGAACUGAAGAGUUUGAUCCUGGCUCAGAUUGAACGCUGGCGGCAUGCCUUACACAUGCAAGUCGAACGGCAGCACGGGCUUCGGCCUGGUGGCGAGUGGCGAACGGGUGAGUAAUACAUCGGAACGUGCCCUGUAGUGGGGGAUAACUAGUCGAAAGAUUAGCUAAUACCGCAUACGACCUGAGGGUGAAAGCGGGGGACCGUAAGGCCUCGCGCUACAGGAGCGGCCGAUGUCUGAUUAGCUAGUUGGUGGGGUAAGAGCCUACCAAGGCGACGAUCAGUAGCUGGUCUGAGAGGACGAUCAGCCACACUGGGACUGAGACACGGCCCAGACUCCUACGGGAGGCAGCAGUGGGGAAUUUUGGACAAUGGGGGCAACCCUGAUCCAGCAAUGCCGCGUGUGUGAAGAAGGCCUUCGGGUUGUAAAGCACUUU